rnacentral:misc_RNA from 1 species
GAUGAAGAACGUAGCGAAAUGCGAUACGUAAUGUGAAUUGCAGAAUUCGGUGAAUCAUCGAGUCUUUGAACGCACAUUGCGCCCCCUGGUAUUCCGGGGGGCAUGCCUGUCCGAGCGUCAUUGCUGCCCUCAAGCACGGCUUGUGUGUUGGGCCUCCGUCCUCCUCCCGGGGGACGGGCCCGAAAGGCAGCGGCGGCACCGCGUCCGGUCCUCGAGCGUAUGGGGCUUCGUCACCCGCUCUUGUAGGCCCGGCCGGCGCUUGCCGACACAUCAAUCUUUUUUCCAGGUUGACCUCGGAUCAGGUAGGGAUACCCGCUGAACUUAAGCAUAUCAAUAAGCGGAA